rnacentral:SRP_RNA from 1 species
UAUGGAGAGUAUUCAAUAGAAGCCUAUGAACCUUGUCAGGUCCGGAAGGAAGCAGCAAUAAGUAGAUACUUUUAUGUGGGUACUUUCCAUAGAA